rnacentral:rRNA from 1 species
AGAACGAACGCUGGCGGCAGGCUUAACACAUGCAAGUCGAACGAUGUAGCAAUACAUAGUGGCGCACGGGUGAGUAACGCGUGGGAAUGUACCAUUUGGUGGGGAAUAACGUUGGGAAACUAACGCUAAUACCGCAUACGCCCUUCGGGGGAAAGUUUCUUAGAGUGAAUUGAGGAAAUGAGGAAUUGACGAAAUGAAGAAUAGAAAGUUUAUGCGCAAAGCGCAUUCUUUGUUUUCUUCAAUUCUCCAGUUCUUCCAUUCUUCAAUUCAUUCUUUGAUUCGCCAAAUGAUCAGCCCGCGUGAGAUUAGGUAGUUGGUGGGGUAAUGGCCUACCAAGCCUACGAUCUCUAGCUGGUCUGAGAGGAUGAUCAGCCACACUGGAACUGAGACACGGUCCAGACUCCUACGGGAGGCAGCAGUGGGGAAUAUUGGGCAAUGGACGAAAGUCUGACCCAGCCAUGCCGCGUGAAUGAUGAAGGCCUUAGGGUUGUAAAGUUCUUUCGCCGAUGAAGAUAAUGACGGUAGUCGGAGAAGAAGCCCCGGCUAACUUCGUGCCAGCAGCCGCGGUAAUACGAAGGGGGCUAGCGUUGUUCGGAAUUACUGGGCGUAAAGCGAGCGUAGGUUGCUCGAUAAGUCAGUGGUGAAAGCCCAGAGCUCAACUCUGGAACUGCCAUUGAAACUGUCGAGCUGGAAUGUCAGAGGGGAUAGCGGAAUUCCAAAUGUAGGGGUGAAAUCCGUAGAUAUUUGGAGGAACACCGGUGGCGAAGGCGGCUAUCUGGAUGACUAUUGACACUGAGGCUCGAAAGCGUGGGGAUCAAACAGGAUUAGAUACCCUGGUAGUCCACGCUGUAAACGAUGGAUGCUAGUUGUUAGGGGGUUCCCCUUUAGUGACGUAGCUAACGCGUUAAGCAUCCC